rnacentral:rRNA from 1 species
GAUGAACGCUGGCGGCGUGCCUAAUACAUGCAAGUCGAGCGAACAGAUAAGGAGCUUGCUCCUUUGACGUUAGCGGCGGACGGGUGAGUAACACGUGGGUAACCUACCUAUAAGACUGGAAUAACUCCGGGAAACCGGGGCUAAUGCCGGAUAACAUUUAGAACCGCAUGGUUCUAAAGUGAAAGAUGGUUUUGCUAUCACUUAUAGAUGGACCCGCGCCGUAUUAGCUAGUUGGUAAGGUAACGGCUUACCAAGGCAACGAUACGUAGCCGACCUGAGAGGGUGAUCGGCCACACUGGAACUGAGACACGGUCCAGACUCCUACGGGAGGCAGCAGUAGGGAAUCUUCCGCAAUGGGCGAAAGCCUGACGGAGCAACGCCGCGUGAGUGAUGAAGGUCUUCGGAUCGUAAAACUCUGUUAUUAGGGUAGAACAAAUGUGUAAGUAACUGUGCACGUCUUGACGGUACCUAAUCAGAAAGCCACGGCUAACUACGUG